rnacentral:rRNA from 1 species
AGAGUUUGAUCCUGGCUCAGGACGAACGCUGACGGUGUGCUUUAGACAUGCAAGUCGAACGAGAAAGCCCUUCGGGGUGAGUACAGUGGCGAACGGGUGAGUAACACGUGGGUAACCUGCCCCUCGCAGGGGGACAACCGGGGGAAACCCCGGCUAAUACCCCGUACGCUUGCCGGGCUGCAUGGCCCUGGCAAGGAAAGGUAGCUUCGGCCAUCCGGCGAGGGAUGGGCCCGCGGUGCAUUAGCUAGUUGGUGGGGUAAUGGCCUACCAAGGCGACGAUGCAUAGCUGGUCUGAGAGGAUGAUCAGCCACACUGGGACUGAGACACGGCCCAGACUCCUACGGGAGGCAGCAGUCGGGAAUCUUGCGCAAUGGGCGAAAGCCUGACGCAGCAACACCGUGUGGGCGACGAAGGCCUUCGGGUCGUAAAGCCCUGUUGUUGGGGACGAAGGGCGAAGGGUUAAUAGCCCCUAGCCUGACGGUACCCUUCGAGGAAGCCCCGGCUAACUACGUGCCAGCAGCCGCGGUAAUACGUAGGGGGCGAGCGUUGUCCGGAAUUAUUGGGCGUAAAGAGCGUGUAGGCGGUUCGGUAAGUCUGCCGUGAAAACCUGGGGCUCAACCCCGGGCGUGCGGUGGAUACUGCCGGGCUAGAGGGUGGUAGAGGCGAGUGGAAUUCCCGGUGUAGCGGUGAAAUGCGCAGAUAUCGGGAGGAACACCAGUAGCGAAGGCGGCUCGCUGGGCCAUUCCUGACGCUGAGACGCGAAAGCUAGGGGAGCGAACAGGAUUAGAUACCCUGGUAGUCCUAGCCGUAAACGAUGAACACUAGGUGUGGGGGGAGUCGAAUCUCCCUGUGCCGAGCCAACGCGUUAAGUGUUCCGCCUGGGGAGUACGGCCGCAAGGCUUAAACUCAAAAGAAUUUGACGGGGGUCCCGCACAAGCAGCAGAGCAUGUUCUUUUAUUUCGAUGCAACGCGAAGAACCUUACCUGGGCUUGACUUGGGUGCUUGCAAGCGCACGGAAACUUGUUGACCUUCGAAGGGUGCAACAACAGAAUGCUGCAUGGCUGUUCGUUCAGCUCGUUGUCGGUGAGAUGUUGGGUUAAGUCCCGCCAACGA